GCCUGCAAUGCAGGAGACCUGAGUAUGAUCCCUGGGUUGGGAAGACCUGGAGAAGGGAAAGGCUACCCAAUCCAGUAUUCUGACCUGGAGAAUUCUAUGGACUGUAUAGUCCAUGGGGUGGCAGAGUCAGACAUGACUGAGCGACUUUCACUUUCAUAAGAUGAAAAGGAUAUAAACAUUAAUAUUAGAUCACUGCUGAGCUCACAUAUUUCCCCAGGUCAGGUUAUCCAAAGAACAUAACAAUCUAGUUUUAUCUGUAAGUGACUAUCAAAAGUACCUGUAGCCAGGGAGCUCAACAAGGUGCUCUAUGACAACCUAGAGGGGUGGGAUGUUGUGGGGGGGUGGAAGGGAGGUUCAAGAGGGAGGGGACAUAUGUAUACUUAUGGCUGAUUCAUGUUGUUGUGCGGCAGAAACCAACACCACAUUGUAAAGCAAUUGCCCUCCAAUUAAAAGAAAAAAUUUUUUUUUUUUAAAGAAAAUUUUUAAGUUAGUUGUAACAUCCAGCAAAAUCCAUUAUCCACAAUAUGUCUUUUUACUUUGCUACAGCAGAACCAGCCUUUAGCCCUUCAACUCAACCAAUAUCUACCAGCCCCUGUCAUGUGGCAGGUGAAUCCAAGAACUUUGAGAAUCUCCAAGCAGUCAUAUACCAUCUAUCAUAUAUUUCCCCCAUAAAAUGCAUGCAUAAUGAAAAAAUGGGUUUGGCUAAGCAAGGAUCUGGCUAUUGGAGAGGAGGCCUUGGGAAGAACAGAAGUACAAAGGAGGCGUCUCUGAGCAAGAUACAUACUCUCCAGGUCUUUGGACUUUGCAGUCAAAGCUAGAGUCAGUUUCACAAAAAUCAAGAAGAGUAUUUUAAUAAAGCUGUCCAAACACUGAAGUGUGUGCUAAGU
rnacentral:lncRNA from 1 species